rnacentral:rRNA from 1 species
UACGUAGGGGGCGAGCGUUGUCCGGAUUUAUUGGGCGUAAAGCGCUCGUAGGCGGUCUGUCGCGUCGGAUGUGAAAACCCAGGGCUCAACUCUGGGCCUGCAUUCGAUACGGGCAGACUAGAGUACGGCAGGGGAGACUGGAAUUCCUAGUGUAGCGGUGAAAUGCGCAGAUAUCAGGAGGAACACCGGUGGCGAAGGCGGGUCUCUGGGCCGUAACUGACGCUGAGGUACGAAAGCGUGGGGAGCGAACAGG